AACGAACGCUGGCGACAGGCUUAACACAUGCAAGUCGAGCGCCCCGCAAGGGGAGCGGCAGACGGGUGAGUAACACGUGGGAAUCUACCCAUCCCUACGGAACAACUCCGGGAAACUGGAGCUAAUACCGUAUACGCCCUUUGGGGGAAAGAUUUAUCGGGGAUGGAUGAGCCCGCGUCGGAUUAGCUAGUUGGUGGGGUAAAGGCCUACCAAGGCGACGAUCCGUAGCUGGUCUGAGAGGAUGAUCAGCCACACUGGGACUGAGAUACGGCCCAGACUCCUACGGGAGGCAGCAGUGGGGAAUAUUGGACAAUGGGCGCAAGCCUGAUCCAGCCAUGCCGCGUGAGUGAUGAAGGCCUUAGGGUUGUAAAGCUCUUUCGCCAGGGACGAUAAUGACGGUACCUGGAUAAGAAGCCCCGGCUAACUUCGUGCCAGCCGCCGCCGUAAGAC
rnacentral:rRNA from 1 species